rnacentral:rRNA from 1 species
GCAUAUCAAUAAGCGGAGGGAAAAGAAAUCCAACCGGGAUUGCCUCAGUAACGGCGAGUGAAGCGGCAAGAGCUCAAAUUUGAAAUCUGGCCCCCUCGGGGUCCGAGUUGUAAUUUGGAGAGGAUGCUUCGGGUGCGGUCCCCGUCUAAGUGCCCUGGAACGGGCCGUCAUAGAGGGUGAGAAUCCCGUCUGGGAUGGGCGGCCGCGCCCGUGUGAAGCUCCUUCGACGAGUCGAGUUGUUUGGGAAUGCAGCUCUAAGCGGGUGGUAAAUUUCAUCUAAAGCUAAAUACUGGCCGGAGACCGAUAGCGCACAAGUAGAGUGAUCGAAAGAUGAAAAGCACUUUGAAAAGAGAGUUAAACAGCACGUGAAAUUGUUGAAAGGGAAGCGUUGGCCACCAGACGCGCCCAGGGGGGUUCAGCCGGCACGUGUGCCGGUGCACUCCCCCCUGGGUGGGCCAGCAUCGGUUUGGGCGGUCGCUGAAAGGCCCCGGGAAUGUAGCACCCUCCGGGGUGCCUUAUAGCCCGGGGUGUCAUGCGGCCCGCCUGGACCGAGGCCCGCGCUUCGGCGAGGAUGCUGGCGUAAUGGUGGUCAACGGCCCGUCUUGAAACACGGACCAAGGAGUCUAACAUCUAUGCGAGUGUUCGGGUGUCAAACCCGUCCGCGCAGUGAAAGCGAACGCAGGUGGGAACCCCUCCCGGGGCGCACCAUCGACCGAUCCUGAUGUCUUCGGAUGGAUUUGAGUAAGAGCAUAGCUGUUGGGACCCGAAAGAUGGUUGAACUAUGCCUGAAUAGGGCGAAGCCAGAGGAAACUCUGGUGGAGGGCUCGCAGCGGUUUCUGACGUGCAAAUCGAUCGUCAAAUUUGGGUUAUAGGGGGCGAAAGACUUAAUUCGGAACCCAUCUGGUAGCUGAUUCCCUGCGAAG